UACGUAGGGGGCAAGCGUUGUCCGGAUUUACUGGGCGUAAAGAGCGCGUAGGCGGCGAUUUAAGCGUGGCUUGAAAGCCCCCGGCUCAAUCGGGGAGGGUGGCUGCGAACUGGAUCUCUUGAGGGCGAUAGAGGAGAGCGGAAUUCCUGGUGUAGCGGUGAAAUGCGUAGAUAUCAGGAGGAACACCGGUGGUGUAGACGGCUUUCUGGACCGUAACUGACGCUGAGACACGAAAGCGUGGGUAGCAAACAGG
rnacentral:rRNA from 1 species